rnacentral:rRNA from 1 species
AAUAGAUACCCCGGUAGUCCACGCCGUAAACGAUGAGUGCUAAGUGUUAGAGGGUUUCCGCCCUUUAGUGCUGCAGCUAACGCAUUAAGCACUCCGCCUGGGGAGUACGGUCGCAAGACUGAAACUCAAAGGAAUUGACGGGGGCCCGCACAAGCGGUGGAGCAUGUGGUUUAAUUCGAAGCAACGCGAAGAACCUUACCAGGUCUUGACAUCCUCUGACAACUCUAGAGAUAGAGCGUUCCCCUUCGGGGGACAGAGUGACAGGUGGUGCAUGGUUGUCGUCAGCUCGUGUCGUGAGAUGUUGGGUUAAGUCCCGCAACGAGCGCAACCCUUGAUCUUAGUUGCCAGCAUUUAGUUGGGCACUCUAAGGUGACUGCCGGUGACAAACCGGAGGAAGGUGGGGAUGACGUCAAAUCAUCAUGCCCCUUAUGACCUGGGCUACACACGUGCUACAAUGGAUGGUACAAAGGGCUGCAAGACCACGAGGUCAAGCCAAUCCCAUAAACCAUUCUCAGUUCGGA